AUGGUGGGCAUGCCCUUCCCCAACAUCAGGUCUCCAGAGCUGCAGGAGAGGAUGGCCUACUUGGCUCACACUCUUGUGAGCGUCCCCAGUGUUGCAGAGGGUGAGAGGAGACUGGACGGUGAGCAGGGCCAUCAGGCACCAAAGGGAUUCUGCCAGCAUAGUGUUCCUGGACCAGUGACACACCCGGCCCCGUCCUGGCCAAGCUGCCAGCCUGGAUCUGAGCCCUCGUGCAGGUCAAUGCCACCUUUGGUUCUGCCAUUGCUGCUGUGUGGAAGUUCAGUCCUGCCUUUUCCUUUCCCGAGAGCCUCCACUACCCCAAGAUGGCAUUUCUCACUGCCUUCUGUCUGCCCAGUUUCACCAGAAGUCGGCCUCUUCCUGACAGGCAACUGCACCACUGCCUGGUGCUGUGCCUUCUUUGCUCUGCCCACUGGAGACUGUUCGUCAUGGGCCUGGUCUGCAGGGAUCCCGCUACAAAGGUGAAACCCAGCAGAGUGUGGAGUCGAGUGCUGCCAGGACGCAGACACAAGCAUUAGUGCCCACUGGAGAAAGCAAGGGAACCCCGAAGAAAUGGCGGGUCUGGGCUAUCCUUGAGGCCUUCCCAGGGCAGCUCCCCUCUGUGGAAUCACAUCUGUCUUUCAACCCGCAUGGCCGAGGGCCGGGCUUCUCACUGGGCCUCUGCAGGAGGCUGCCAUUUCUGUCCUGCCCACCUUCUUAGAGGCGAGAUGGAGCAGAUGCAUCUGCUUCUGCCAUUUCUAUGAUAACUAAAGUUAGCUGCCCUGGACUAUUCACCCUCCCGUCUCAAUUUAGAAAGAUCCGCAGGGCCACAGGGCUCCCGCCCGGGGGGCUUGCCACUUCCCCCACCUUCUUCCUGAGUCACUCCCGCAGCCCUGCUCCCUAACCCGCCCCACAGCCCUGCCUGGAUUUGUAUCUCCCUGGCUUGGUGCCAGUUCCUCCAAGUCAAUGGCACCUCCCUCCUUCUCAACUACUUGAGCCAACUCCAAGACACCUUCUACUCCAACACCAGCCAUGGUGCCAAGGGCCAUUAGGCUCUCAGCAUGACUAUUUUUAGAGACCCCAUGUCUGUCACUGAAAGCUUUUUUCUGUGGGAGACUAUUCCUCCCACCUGCAACAGCUGCCCCUGCUGACUGCACCUCUCUCCUCCCUCUGACCCCAGAGAAACGGGUCAGCUGGGAUCUUCUGCCCCCAUUGCCUAGGGACCAACAGGGGCAGGAGGAAAGUCACUGACCCCCAGACGUUUGCAUCCUGCACAGCUAGAGGUCCUUUAUUAAAAGCACACUGUUGGUUUCAGCUCA